rnacentral:tRNA from 1 species
GAAAUAUGAUGUUCAUGGGAGAGCUGCUAACUCUCCCUCUAGCGGUUAAAUUCCGUUAAUAUUUCU